AACGUAGGGGGCUAGCGUUGCCCGGAAUCACUGGGCGUAAAGCGGGUGUAGGCGGUUCUUUAAGUCGGAUGUGAAAUCCAGCGGCCCAACCGCUGAAUUGCAUCCGAUACUGGGGAACUUGAGGACGGUAGAGGUCGGUGGAAUAUCCGGUGUACCGGUGAAAUGGACAGAUAUCGGAUAGAACACCAGUGGCGAAGGCGGCCGACUGGGCCGUUCCUGACGCUGAGACCCGAAAGCUAGGGUAGCGAACCGG
rnacentral:rRNA from 1 species